UGAGGAAUAUUGGGCAAUGCCCGCAAGGGUGACCCAGCAACGCCGCGUGGAGGAUGAAUGUCGUAAGAUUGUAAACUCCUGUUAGAGGGGAAGAAUAGUACCGGUUGGACCGGUAUAUGACUGUACCCUCAGAGAAAGCCCCGGCUAACUACGUGCCAGCAGCCGCGGUAAUACGUAGGGGGCAAGCGUUGUCCGGAUUUACUGGGUGUAAAGGGCGCGCAGGCGGGAUAAAAAGUCAGUGGUGAAAUCCUACAGCUUAACUGUAGAACUGCCUUUGAUACGUUUAUUCUUGAGUUCGGGAGAGAGAGACGGAAUUCCAGGUGUAGUGGUGAAAUACGUAGAUAUCUGGAAGAACACCAGUUGCGAAGGCGGUCUCUUGGUCCGACACUGACGCUGAGGCGCGAAAGCGUGGGGAGCAAACA
rnacentral:rRNA from 1 species